rnacentral:misc_RNA from 1 species
GGGUUUAGCCUAUCUCUUUCCGCAUCAGGCGGUUUUCUUCUCCUUCUUCAGACAAGGGAAGGCCACCAUCCCCAAUUCCAGUCAAUGGGUUUCUCUUCUGCUCUAUUGGGUUGGGUUGUAGAUAAUUUUGUCUAGUGGGCAAUAAUAGUGAAGGGUGAGAGAUAUCUUGGUUAUCGAACUAUAGUGUUUCUUUGCUUGCAGUUUGGGUGUGAAUCUUGAAUUAUUGGGAGAGUGAGCUUGAUUAGUAUUAGUUGGUCUCGAGGAAGAGAUACCUUGAGUGUUCAACGUUGGCUACCUGCCAAAGACCGUCCACCCUUUCGACUAAAAGAGAAUGAGAUGCCUUAGGCUUUCUCUCUUCUCCUUCUCUAUUUUAUUCUCCCAUGUGUUGUCGUUGCAAUAUGGAGCAUAGUCUAGUACUUUCCCUAUUUGAUGAAGGCUUGUCGGAUCAUUCAAAAUAUGUGUGGUUUAAUUGUGCGAGGGACCUCUAAAUUUCAUGCGAAGCUC